rnacentral:rRNA from 1 species
GUAAGGAAUAUUGGUCAAUGGACGAAAGUCUGAACCAGCCAUGCCGCGUGAAGGAUGAAGGCCCUCUGGGUUGUAAACUUCUUUUAUCUGGGACGAAAAAAGGGUAUUCUUACUCACUUGACGGUACCAGAGGAAUAAGCACCGGCUAACUCCGUGCCAGCAGCCGCGGUAAUACGGAGGGUGCAAGCGUUAUCCGGAUUCACUGGGUUUAAAGGGUGCGUAGGUGGGUAUUUAAGUCAGUGGUGAAAUCUCCUAGCUUAACUCGGAAACUGCCAUUGAUACUAUUUACCUUGAAUGCCCUGGAGGUAAGCGGAAUAUGUCAUGUAGCGGUGAAAUGCUUAGAUAUGACAUAGAACACCAAUUGCGAAGGCAGCUUACUACGGGGUGAUUGACACUGAGGCACGAAAGCGUGGGGAGCAAACAGGAUUAGAAACCCCUGUAGUCC